GUGUCAGCAGCCGCGGUAAUACGGAGGGGGCCAGCGUUGUUCGGAAUUAUUGGGCGUAAAGGGCGCGUAGGCGGCAGGAUAAGUCUGACGUGAAAUCCCUCGGCCCAACCGAGGAACUGCGUUUGAAACUGUCCGGCUUGAGUCCGGGAGAGGGUAGUGGAAUUCCCAGUGUAGCGGUGAAAUGCGUAGAUAUUGGGAGGAACACCGGUGGCGAAGGCGGCUACCUGGACCGGUACUGACGCUGAGGUGCGAAAGCCAGGGGAGCAAACAGGAUUAGAAACCCCUGUAGUCC
rnacentral:rRNA from 1 species